GUAGGAGUGCAUGUGAGUGCAUACAUGUGUGUAUGCACACACACACACACACACACACACACACGCACACACACACACAC
rnacentral:miRNA from 1 species